UCAAGUAAUUAAGUGCAUGUGGUGGAUGCCUUGGCAGUCAGAGGCGAUGAAAGACGUGAUAGCCUGCGAAAAGCUCCGGGGAGGCGGCAAAUAUCCUUUGAUCCGGAGAUGUCUGAAUGGGGGAACCCACCUACUUUAAGGUAGGUAUUGCAACAUGAAUACAUAGUGUUGCAAGGCGAACGAGGGGAAGUGAAACAUCUCAGUACCCUUAGGAAAAGAAAUCAAUUGAGAUUCCCUCAGUAGCGGCGAGCGAACGGGGAUCAGCCCAUUAAGUUAUGUGUGUUUUAGUGGAACGCUCUGGGAAGUGCGAACGUAGAGGGUGAUAUUCCCGUACACGAAAGGGCACACAUAAUGAUGACGAGUAGGGCGAGGCACGUGAAACCUUGUCUGAAUAUGGGGGGACCAUCCUCCAAGGCUAAAUACUCCUGACUGACCGAUAGUGAACCAGUACCGUGAGGGAAAGGCGAAAAGAACCCCUGUGAGGGGAGUGAAAUAGAUCCUGAAACCGCAUGCAUACAAGCAGUGGGAGCACCUUCGUGGUGUGACUGCGUACCUUUUGUAUAAUGGGUCAGCGACUUAUAUUCAGUAGCGAGGUUAACCGUAUAGGGGAGCCGUAGAGAAAUCGAGUCUUAAUAGGGCGUUUAGUUGCUGGGUAUAGACCCGAAACCAGGCGAUCUAUCCAUGAGCAGGUUGAAGGUUGGGUAACACUAACUGGAGGACCGAACCCACUGUCGUUGAAAAGCCAGGGGAUGACUUGUGGAUAGGGGUGAAAGGCUAAUCAAGCCUGGUGAUAGCUGGUUCUCCCCGAAAGCUAUUUAGGUAGCGCCUCGGACGAAUACCAUAGGGGGUAGAGCACUGUUUCGGCUAGGGGGUCAUCCCGACUUACCAAACCGAUGCAAACUCCGAAUACCUAUGAGUACUAUCCGGGAGACAGACUGCGGGUGCUAACGUCCGUAGUCAAGAGGAAAACAAUCCAGACCGCCAGCUAAGGCCCCAAAAUCAUAGUUAAGUGGGAAACGAUGUGGGAAGGCAUAGACAGCUAGGAGGUUGGCUUAGAAGCAGCCACCCUUUAAAGAAAGCGUAAUAGCUCACUAGUCGAGUCGGCCUGCGCGGAAGAUGUAACGGGGCUAAAACUAUGUGCCGAAGCUGCGGAUGUAUACUUUGUAUACGUGGUAGGGGAGCGUUCUGUAAAGCCGAUGAAGGUGUGUUGAGAAGCAUGCUGGAGGUAUCAGAAGUUGCGAAUGCUGACGUGAGUAACGACAAAACGGGUGAAAAACCCGUUCGCCGAAAGACCAAGGGUUCCAGUCCAACGUUAAUCGGGGCUGGGUGAGUCGACCCCUAAGGCGAGGCCGAAAGGCGUAGUCGAUGGGAAAAUGGUUAAUAUUCCAUUACUUCUGUGUAAUGCGAUGAGAGGACGGAGAAGGCUAAAUCAGCCUGGCGUUGGUUGUCCAGGUGAAAGGAUGUAGGCAUGUAUCUUAGGCAAAUCCGGGGUACUCUAUGCUGAGAUCUGAUAGCAAGCUGUACUUGUACAGCGAAGUGGUUGAUGCCAUGCUUCCAGGAAAAGUCUCUAAGCUUCAGUUACACAGGAAUCGUACCCGAAACCGACACAGGUGGUCAGGUCGAGUAGACCAAGGCGCUUGAGAGAACUCUGCUGAAGGAACUAGGCAAAAUGGUACCGUAACUUCGGGAGAAGGUACGCUGUUGUUGGUGAUGGAACUCGCUUCCUGAGCUGACGACAGCCGCAGAAACCAGGCCGCUGCAACUGUUUAUUAAAAACAUAGCACUCUGCAAACACGAAAGUGGACGUAUAGGGUGUGAUGCCUGCCCGGUGCUGGAAGGUUAAUUGAUGGGGUUAGCGUAAGCGAAGCUCUUGAUCGAAGCCCCAGUAAACGGCGGCCGUAACUAUAACGGUCCUAAGGUAGCGAAAUUCCUUGUCGGGUAAGUUCCGACCUGCACGAAUGGCAUAAUGAUGGCGGCGCUGUCUCCAGCAGAGGCUCAGUGAAAUCGAAAUCGCUGUGAAGAUGCAGUGUACCCGCGGCUAGACGGAAAGACCCCGUGAACCUUUACUGCAGCUUGACACUGAACUUUGACCUUACUUGUGUAGGAUAGGUGGGAGGCUUUGAAGCUGGAACGCUAGUUCCAGUGGAGCCGUCCUUGAAAUACCACCCUGGUAAUGUUGAGGUUCUAACUCUGUCCCGUGAUCCGGGACGAGGACCGUGUCUGGUGGGUAGUUUGACUGGGGCGGUCUCCUCCUAAAGAGUAACGGAGGAGUACGAAGGUGCGCUCAGCGUGGUCGGAAAUCACGCGUAGAGUAUAAAGGCAAAAGCGCGCUUAACUGCGAGACCCACAAGUCGAGCAGGUACGAAAGUAGGUCUUAGUGAUCCGGUGGUUCUGUAUGGAAGGGCCAUCGCUCAACGGAUAAAAGGUACUCUGGGGAUAACAGGCUGAUACCGCCCAAGAGUUCAUAUCGACGGCGGUGUUUGGCACCUCGAUGUCGGCUCAUCUCAUCCUGGGGCUGAAGCAGGUCCCAAGGGUAUGGCUGUUCGCCAUUUAAAGAGGUACGCGAGCUGGGUUUAGAACGUCGUGAGACAGUUCGGUCCCUAUCUACCGUGGGCGCUGGAAAUUUGAGAGGAUCUGCUCCUAGUACGAGAGGACCAGAGUGGACGAACCUCUGGUGUACCGGUUGUGACGCCAGUCGCAUCGCCGGGUAGCUAUGUUCGGAAGGGAUAACCGCUGAAAGCAUCUAAGCGGGAAGCCUACCUCAAGAUAAGAUUUCCCUAGGACUUUAUGUCCUCUAAAGAGCCGUUCGAGACUAGGACGUUGAUAGGUUGGAUGUGGAAGCAUAGUGAUAUGUGAAGCUGACCAAUACUAAUUGCUCGUGAGGCUUGACUAU
rnacentral:rRNA from 1 species